rnacentral:rRNA from 1 species
AUUGAACGCUGGCGGAAUGCUUUACACAUGCAAGUCGAACGGCAGCACGGACUUCGGUCCGCCGGCGAGUGGCGAACGGGUGAGUAAUAUAUCGGAACGUACCUUUCAGUGGGGGAUAACGUAGCGAAAGUUACGCUAAUACCGCAUAUUCUGUGAGCAGGAAAGCAGGGGAUCUUCGGACCUUGCGCUGAUUGAGCGGCCGAUAUCAGAUUAGCUAGUUGGUGAGGUAAAGGCUCACCAAGGCGACGAUCUGUAGCGGGUCUGAGAGGAUGAUCCGCCACACUGGAACUGAGACACGGUCCAGACUCCUACGGGAGGCAGCAGUGGGGAAUUUUGGACAAUGGGGGCAACCCUGAUUCAGCCAUGCCGCGUGAGUGAAGAAGGCCUUCGGGUUGUAAAGCUCUCUCGGCCGGGAAGAAAUCGCACGGGUUAAUACCCCGUGUGGAUGACGGUACCGGAAUAAGAAGCACCGGCUAACUACGUGCCAGCCGCCGCCGUAA